CACACUGACAUAGAUACACACCUUGACACACAGUGUGUGUAUGUGUGUACAGAUACAUACACACACAUACACACUGUGUGUCAAGGUGUGUGUAUCUGUG